rnacentral:rRNA from 1 species
UACGAAGGGUGCAAGCGUUAAUCGGAAUUACUGGGCGUAAAGCGUGCGUAGGCGGUUUCUUAAGUCUGCUGUGAAAGCCCUGGGCUCAACCUGGGAAUGGCGGUGGAUACUGAGAAGCUGGAGUACGGUAGAGGAAGGUGGAAUUCCCGGUGUAGCGGUGAAAUGCGUAGAGAUCGGAAAGAACACCAACGGCGAAAGCACUCUGCUGGGCCGACACUGACACUGAGAGACGAAAGCUAGGGGAGCGAAUGGG